rnacentral:lncRNA from 1 species
ACCAUUCCUCGGACAAUCUUCUUCCUCUACACUCUAGCUCAUCUUGCCCAUGCAUUUCUCCCUGGCUUGACUGGCCGUUGAUGAAGCUGCAGGAGCCAGCCCCCUAGCUAGCUAUCUGUCUGCCUAGCUGCUUCGUCGGUGAGUCCUGCUUCCUCGCCCGCUCGCUCGCUGGCCGGACUUGUAUUAACAAUACUAUUUAUUUCCCUUCUCAAUUGGUGAUCGGUUUUCAGUUUGGUAGUAGUAGUAGCAGCAGAUUCUUUUGUGAUCACUGGACUUGCACAUGCAUGAUUCCGGCUCUUAAACUGCUGCAGCACAUCAUCAGUUGUUGGUAGCUAGGAGUAGCUCCGGUGGUGCCCCGAAGUCGAGAAAAGCCAAGAGAAUCUUCCAAAUUUCGUCUUUCUUUCUGACUAGCAAGUUGUGGUGAGGUGAGUGGAGGCAGUAUCCUUUCCUCCGGAACUGAAACUCAACUCAAAAGGCAGGCGGAUCAAAUCAACCCAACCCCACCUGCACCUGCAGCGAACUGACUCACUGACUGGCUCUGUUUUCUUGUCUUCUUCAGAUCAGAUGAGCCAUCGAUCCAUCACGGAGCUCGAUCGCUCCGUAGCCACGUCGCACUCCAUUCUCUUUUCUUUUCUUUUCUUUUCUUUUCAAAAGUAGCCCAGGCAAGGCAAUAUAUUUACACUUGUGUGUGCGCAACUAGUUCUAUAUAUUUUUUUUCCUUUGAAAAGUCCACACCCCCCCAUGCAUGCGAUGCGAGUGUCGAACAGUGCCCCGUCACGUCACCUUAUAACUUGCCCCAAAUUUCUUCACGCCUGCCUGACUCCUUGAUCGUGACAAGAGCCUUCAUUGGUUUCCUCUUUUCCAACCCUACCUCAACAAUCACAACCGUACGCACGAAUAUCUCAUCUCGCCUGAAAAAUAACGGAUUUCUCUUUUCUUUUUAUUAUUAUUAGAAAAGCAAAAAUUGCAGAUAUGAUUUUCUCGCCAACAAAAUUGGAAUAAGAUAACAUGCCGGGCGAAUAUUCCCCCGGAGCGUAGAACAAAAACAACUGUCAGCCGCUUCGACUCGCCAGUAAAAUCGUAACAGCCAAGGUUUAUUCCCAACGAUCCCACCAAAAUACCUUUUGAUCCCAGCGUUCACAGCAGUCAACAACCAAGCCCAAGAGUCCCGGGGAAGCAGCAGGAGCCGCAGUAUUUAUCUCAUCUCUCAUCCCACCCGACGCCCUCCAUCCUCCUCCCACCCCACCCUAAAAUCUCCAAUCUUCUCUUGACAGGAACAAGAGAUCCCCGGCGGCGAUCCCCGGCGAGAGAUCAGUCAAGGAGGGCUCGCGGCG